UACAGAGGUCUCAAGCGUUGUUCGGAUUCAUUGGGCGUAAAGGGUGCGUAGGUGGCGAGGCAAGUCAGAUGUGAAAUCCCGGGGCUCAACCCCGGAACUGCACUUGAUACUGCGGUGCUCGAGUACUGGAGAGGAGAUUGGAAUUUACGGUGUAGCAGUGAAAUGCGUAGAUAUCGUAAGGAAGACCAGUGGCGAAGGCGAAUCUCUGGACAGUUACUGACACUGAGGCACGAAGGCCAGGGGAGCAAACGGG
rnacentral:rRNA from 1 species